rnacentral:lncRNA from 1 species
AUACAAGUGCAUCAGACUUAUAAUACUCCUUGGGGUUUUUUUUUGUUUUAUUUUGUUUUUUUACUAAUGAUGUUUCAACUAAUAUUUUAGUAUAUUAAGCUUUGAUUUUAUGCUUAUUUCUUUUUGAAUUCUUAGAAAGACUGUCAAUUUAUUUAUUUAGACCUCUUACGUAUUGCCAAUUGUGUUUAAACAGAUGGUCCUAAACCUUAUGUAUUGUUAUUUCUGGGCACCCCAGUACAUCUUCCGUUACACCUUUCUUGCUGGGGUACUUCUCAGAUUUGGCUUCCUACUAGAACCAACACAGAGCACUAAAUAUAUCUAUAGUUGACCUUUGUCCUAAACCAAUGAAGCUGGAAUUUCUGAGAAAAGUAGGGGAACUAAGGAGUUAGUAACUUUGAAAGAACUCAAAUGAGAUUAGCUGGGUAAAAUGGCAAUAUUAACCAAGCCUGGUAGCGCACGCCUGAAAUCCCAACACUCUGGAGACAGAGCCAUGAAGACAGUAAGUCAGAGGUCAGUCUAGUCUAUGCUGAAUGUUUCAGACCUGAAAGAGCUUCAAAGUGAAACACCAUCUCAUAAAUAAGUGAAUAAAUACGUAAAUUUAUAAAUUUCCAAUUAGUUCUAUUUUAAGUUUUUCUCUUUUCUUCUCUUUUCUCUCUCUCUCUCUCUCUCUCUCUCUCUCUCUUUCUCUCUCUCUUUUUCUCUCUCUCUCCCUUCCUUCCUUCCUUCCUUCCUUUGUUCCUCUCUCUUUCUCUCCCUCCCUCCCUCCCUCCCUCCCUCCCUCCCUCCCUCCCUCCCUCCCUCCCUCUCUCUCUCUUUCUUUCUUUCUUUCUUUCUUUCUUUCUUUCUUUCUUUCUUUCUUCCAUUCUUUCUUCCCUUCUUUCUUUCUUUGACUCUCCCCAUUUAUUUCAGUGGUAACUGCCCAUCUCAUCCUGGACAUCAUUUGUGGUUGUUUGUUUUUCCAAUGACUGCUAUUCUGACUGGGGUGAGAUGGAAUAUCAAUGAGAUUUUAAUUUGCAUUUCCCUGGUGGCUAAGUAGAACCACUUUGUUAAUUGAAUAAAUAAAAAUGCUCUCUUCUAAAGCCCUUAUGGUCACAAGGCGAAUUAGAAUUUAAGUAGUGUAUGUUCGUUAUUUUAUUAGUUUGAAAAGCAUACUAUGAAGCUAGAAUCUUGGCCAAGACAUUUUGGCAUUUCUCUUUCAUAUACAGUUGUACCUUGGCUGUUAUGGAGGAUUGAUUCUGGGACACAUCUUGGAAACUAGGGUCUUUUGCUCAAGCCCCUUAAAUAUUGUGGUGGUCUAUAAUAUACAUCAUCUGUAUAUUACAUAUAAUACCUAAUACUAUUCAAGUCCUGUGUAAAGACUUGUUACACCAUAUUAGUUAGGGAAUAAUGACUCCUCCAGUCUGCAUGUACUUGUAAAGAAAUUUUUUCUUGAAUAGUUUCAUCUAAAGUUAAUUGAAUUCCGCACUUGCCUGUAGAACCCUUAGAUACAGAGAAAAUUAGGGCAUCCUGCAUCUAAACAGCAUCCCUUAGCAUCUCACCAAUUGAAACCUAGACAAGGCUUAGAGGAGCUCUCGCUGGUUCAUUUCUAAGCUUUCUGUUUGAAAUUCCUCAGAAUGGUAAAUUUUAUACUGUCUUGUCUCUUUAAUCAUUGUUCAAUUUGACUGGCUGUCAAACAUUUCAUCCAUCCAUUUUUAACACUGGAAUGUGUAUUGUCAAAUGCAAGGGUUUCUUCAAUAUAAUCAUAUGGUAUCAUUUCCCAUGUAUCUUAGAUGCCAUUUAAUAGAUAAAUAAUCAUCAAAAAGGCUAAAUAUAGCAUGCAAGUUGAACCUGCCAGUUCUGAUUAGAUUCAUGGAGGUGCCUAACGUUUCUGGGUCAUGCUUCUGAUGGAGUCAGUCCAUGGAAGCCCAGUUAAUGUAGCCUGUUAGUGUAAGCUGAUAUAUAAUACUGUUAGAUGAUAUUUGAGCACAAUAUGAACCCUGAGACUGUGUUAGUUACUGAAACAAACAAACAAACAAACAAAAAAACCAAAAACCCUGUUUCUAGUUGUGGUGUGUCUCAGCCCUUUAGCACACACCUUGAAUCUCUCUGGCUCGAAUAUAGACACACCCUUAGUACACACCUUCAAUUCCAAACACUGAAGGUAAAGUUAGUUUGCAGAAAGAAGCACCUAUGUUUGAAAGUGAUGUCUAAUUGAGUGGCAGACAAAGUGACAAAUCAGAGAAAGAUUUGACAGAAUAGAAUAUGCCCAACUCUCAUGAGAAGAGAGAGAGGAAAGGGAAACUAUUUAAGGGGUAGUGCAGAGAGAGGAAAGAGAGGAGGCAGUUUAGAGAGACAGGUUGCAGAGAGAGAAUGAACUAAACACAGGACUAGGCCUAGGUUAGCAGACUGAGUCUGUAAGCCUCGAAGAUGGAGACAAAAACUAUCAUAGGUGAGUUAAAGUUACAUUCACAAUACUCUGUUCUCCCUCACAUCAUGGUAUAAGUAUUUUACCACUGAGCUCAUUGCCUGUCCUUGUGUUUUGGUUGUUUUCUUAUUUUGGUACCAGAGAUACAAUCAUAAAUAAGACAGAUCAAAGUUCUUCCUCUUAAGGGAUUUACAUCUUAAAUGGGCAGGCAAGAAGAGAACAAUGAAGUUAGCCACAUUCCUGGAGUUGGGCAUAGCGGUACAGACCUGAAAUCAGAGGAAUGAGGAGGCAGAGGCAGGAAGAUACUGAGUGUGGAGCUCACAUUGAACUGCAUAGAAGACCUUCCCCUCCCUGACACCCCAGCAAGCAGCAAAGCAACUAUCAUUACUGUAGCCAGGAUGGUUAGAAUGGGAAAAGUACUGCAUAGAUGCAAGCUGAAUGAAUGAAUGAAUGAAUGAAUGAAUGAAUGCACUUGGCCUGGUGAAAAGCUCCAAAGCAGCAGCAGGGACAGAAGUUGGUGCUGACUUGGAUUGACAGAGGAAAAGAAGCAGCUCCCUGCAUCUCUGGGAAAUGACGUCAUUUCUUAGGGAACCCACCCUUUCCCUAAGAAGGGAAAGUCAGAGGAGGGGCACUGUGGACAGAUGAUGAAUUCUUCUUUAAGGUAAUCUGUGGAACAUCCAAGUAAGGAUUCCAAGAAGCAGGUAGAUGGGUCAAAGCAGUCUGGGCUACCGUUGUAGACUUUAGUCUAUAAGCCAUUAGAAUGAAUGAGAUCACUAGGAAUUAGAACGAGAAAAGAAGUCCAAACAUUUGAGUACCUACCUAGUGUUACCAUAGGAAAGAUGAUUAGUAAUGCAUCUUAUAUCAACAAGAAUAGACAUAGGGUUCUAAGUCCGUCUCACCCUGAACCCACACUUUCUGUAGUAAUCACAUUCUUUUCUUAAAUUAUGCAACUUUUCAAGUCAUUGCUAGGGUUGGGGAUGGGCUGAGAAAGAUGAGUGGAAAAGGCAAGGCUUGGAAACAAGAAACACUGAAGAAACCUGGAAAAAUGAGUCAUGAAUCCAGGACUAGGCUAGGGGCUAGGGGCUAGAGAAGAAAGCCACAGCCUAAUUUGCAAAAUUCAGGCUUAACUUUACAUUAAAAUACAAAUUGACACCCUCUACUUCCUGACAGUAUUAGGACACACAACAAAGGUACAAAGACUUCAUUGAGAAUUUGAAAAGGACCUAAACAGCUACCAAUAAGAUAAUAAAUUCACGGUUGUCUCGUUAAAGAGUGUAAUUAUAACUCAUUAGAAUGAAUUGGAACAUCCUAUGUAACACAUCUUAAAACUGCAACCAUGUAAAUGUAACAUGCUAUCCCAGGUUAGAUAUUUAUUUAUUUAUUUAUUUAUUUAUUUAUUUAUUUAUUUAUUUAUUUAUUUUGAGGUUAUGUUUGGUUAUUGGUUUUGAAGCCCUGGGGAUUGAACCCUAAGCCUUGGGCGUAGUGGACAAGCAUCCCACCAAUGUCUCUUUAACACCUUUGCAACUGUUCUGCGAAUCUAAAAAUAUUCCCAGUUGGGGGGGGGGGGCAGAUGCGAGAUAGAAAGGCUUAAAAUACAGAGUACCCGUGUAUGAAAUUCUCAAAUAGAAAACAUAGUUAUCCCGAAAUAAAAGAAUUAUUUAAAAAAAAAAAAAAACCUAAGCUCAGAGCUGCAGGUAUAGCUCCGUGGUGAAUUUGCACGUAAAUAUACUCCCUGGAUUUGCUUCUCAGCCCCUUGGAGGGGUUGUGAAGGGAGGGGGACCUUGUAAGCAAUGUGAGCUCAAGGCAAGCCAAAUAAACUGUAAAGGAACUGAUGCCACAUGAUAGCAUUGAUGAGAACCUUAAAGCACUCAAAGCAAUAUGAAAUGUUGAUGCAUAGCAUGUAUUUAAUUAAGGUGUAACAACAUUCAAAAGAAUGAUGUUUUAUUUAAAGUAGAAAGUGAAAAAGAAUAUACAUUCAAUUAAAUUGAAUAUAUCAAACUUAUUUUUCUUUUUUCUUGGAUGUUUUCUUUAUUUACAUUUCAAAUGUUAUCCCCUUUCCCAAUUUUCCACCCCCUCCCAGAAACCCCCUAUCCCAUUCCCCCCCCCCCUGCUUCUAUGAGGGUGUUCACCCACCCACCUACUCCUGCCUCCCUGCCCUCAAUUCCCCUAGCCAUCUAUCGAGCCUUCAUAUGACCAAGGACCUCUCCUCCCAUUGAUGCCUGACAAGGCCGUCCUCUGCUACAUAUACAGCUGGAGCCAUGUAUACUCCUAGGUAUGUGGAUGUGCAUACAAGUUUCCUCUGCGUCCAGAAGAGUUGGAGUUACAGGGAGCUGUAGGUGCCCAAUAUGAGUUCUGUGAACUGAACUUGGUUCCUCGGUAAGAACGUCAUCAAUAGCACAGAAAAAAGUAGCCUCGUUGCUAUUCCCAGUCCAUGGAAGCACGGAUCAUGGACAGCUACAAGCUUUCUGGUGGCAGCACUGACCAUGAACAAAGCCUCCUGCUACAGUAGGACCAUGAAUGCAGACAAGACCCUUGGAGGAUGCCUGGCAGACACCACACUUCAACAUGGCUUCAGGGGGUAAUGCAGGCCACCCACAUCAAUAAGGACCCUGUGAGCAUCACGGCUUAUGGACAUUGAUGUGACUUUAGGCUGCACUAGAGACCACAGACAUCUUCAUGGCCUUUGGUAAUAAUUCAGGCCAUAGACAUCAACACUGAGCC